rnacentral:rRNA from 1 species
AGAGUUUGAUCAUGGCUCAGAGCGAACGCUGGCGGCAGGCCUAAUACAUGCAAGUCGAGCGGGUGUAGCAAUACACCAGCGGCAGACGGGAGAGUAACACGUGGGAACGUGCCCUUCAGUUCGGAACAACCCAGGGAAACUUGGGCUAAUACCGGAUACGUCCGUAAGGAGAAAGAUUUAUCGCUGAAGGAUCGGCCCGCGUCUGAUUAGCUUGUUGGUGAGGUAACGGCUCACCAAGGCGACGAUCAGUAGCUGGUCUGAGAGGAUGAUCAGCCUCACUGGGACUGAGACACGGCCCAGACUCCUACGGGAGGCAGCAGUAGGGAAUAUUGGACAAUGGGCGCAAGCCUGAUCCAGCCAUGCCGCGUGGGUGAUGAAGGCCCUAGGGUUGUAAAGCCCUUUCGGCGGGGAAGAUAAUGACGGUACCCGCAGAAGAAGCCCCGGCUAACUUCGUGCCAGCAGCCGCGGUA